AUUGAACGCUGGCGGCAGGCCUAACACAUGCAAGUCGAGCGAGCGGCGGACGCGUGAGUAAUGUAUGGGGACUGCCCGAUAGAGGGGGAUAACUACUGGAAACGGUAGCUAAUACCGCAUACUAUCGGAUAACCCAUAUGGGAUUAGCUAGUAGGUGAGGUAAUGGCUCACCUAGGCGACGCUCCCUAGCUGGUCUGAGAGGAGGAUCAGCCACACUGGAACGGAGACACGGCCCAGACGCCUACGGAGGCAGCAGUGGGGAAUUUUGGACAAUGGGGGAAAGCCUGAUCCAGCCAUGCCGCGUGUAUGAAGAAGGCCUUCGGGUUGUAAAGUACUUUUAGCAGAGAAGCGGUAUCUGCAGAAUAAGCACCGGCCAACUCCGUGCCAGCAGCCGCGGUAAUUC
rnacentral:rRNA from 1 species